CAGCUUCCUGAUAUGGACUUGCAUGGGACAAUACAGUGAGCUCCAACUCUUUGACAGGAUCCUUUAGAUCUCCAGUGAACAGACACUCUUCCACAUCUGACUCUGAAUUGAACUCGGGACCUUGGUGUUUGCCAGGCAGGUGCUUAUGCUGCUGAGCUAUAUCCCCGGCAACAACCCAAUCCCAGAAGGAUGAUAAAUGGCCCAGAGCCUUCAGGAAUGGAGAUGUGGAUCACCCAAUCUGGAAAGAACCAAGACCUGCUAGAGUGCUUGUUGAAGGCUAAGGGAAUUCAGAAUGGGUAGUAGAUGAAGGAGCUCCAGUGUUUAUCUUCAAUGUGGAUGUCAUCUCCUGGUUUCCAGUGCAGACUCUUCUGCCUUGCAGCACAGACUCCUUGGCCUCCUGAUACAGACUGGCAUGGGAUACUACAGUGAGCUACAGGUCCUUGACCUCUGACUGGAUCUUUGGAUGUUCAUCACACAGGCAGCCUGUUGCAUUCUUCCUCACCUGUCUCUGCAGGCAGCCAUUGAAUCGAACUCAGGACCUUGCACUUGCCAGGCAGGCACUUGCGCUGCUGAACUAUAUCCUCAGCCCUAUCUCCAUCUUUCAAACUGAGCCUAGGUGAGCCACAAGGAAGGCAAGACACCUCGCCCACCACCCCUCUGCCAUCACAGGAGCCUCUGUCUGGAAGAACCCAGGUGCCUGGCACAUUGCCCUACACGACAGGAUGGGCAGCCAGCAUGAGAAGUGCCUUGGACAUGGCAGCCUGGUCUUCCAGAGGAACCCAGG